CCUACGGGUGGCAGCAGUGGGGAAUAUUGCACAAUGGGGGAAACCCUGAUGCAGCGACGCCGCGUGAGUGAAGAAGUAUUUCGGUAUGUAAAGCUCUAUCAGCAGGGAAGAUAAUGACGGUAGCGGACUAAGAAGCCCCGGCUAACUACGUGCCAGCAGCCGCGGUAAUACGAAGGGGGCAAGCGUUAUUCGGAUUUACUGGGUGUAAAGGGAGUGUAGGUGGAAGUGCAAGACAGAUGUGAAAACCCGGGGCUCAACCCCGGGAGUGCAAUUGAGACUGUCCAGCUGGAGUGCAGGAGAGGUUAGCGGAAUUCCUAGUGUAGCGGUGAAAUGCAUAGAUAUUAGGUGGAACACCAGUGGCGAAGGCGGCUUACUGGACUGUAACUGACGCUGAGGCUCGAAAGCGUGGGGAGCAAACAGGAUUAGAUACCCCAGUAGUC
rnacentral:rRNA from 1 species